UUCUCCAUCUGAAGCCACACCUGCAGCAUUGAUAAUAGAAAAAAGAGACACAGCUUCAAGGUAUGCUUAAACCUCCAAAGACUGAGUUUCAGGGGGCAGCGGAAUGAAGUUGUGAACACAACCCUGAAAUAGCAAACUGUUACUUAUCUACAUCCAGCAGUUACAACAUUAUCAUUAAUUUGGAGUCUUGCUUCUGGCCACCUGAUAAAGCCUGUUUGGCCUCCUAACAUGGUUGGCAGGGCAUAAGGAGGAGGAGGAAGGGCAUCUGACUGGGCGCUGUUGCAGUUCAUCGACUGUUUUCUUCAGAGAGAAAGGUCAGAGGAUACAGUACGGUGGGACACCUGCUGAAGUGACUUCAUGCAAAUAAGUCUCCUGUCCUGCAGAGGAGAAAAGGUGGGAAACCAAAUUGGAUCGAAUGUAAUUCAGUUCACCAAGCAGGGAAUGAAUCGAUAAUGCUGAGGAAUGGCUUUCGAAGGACUGAGUGCCCACCUUAGAGAAUUCCUGCCACUAUCAAAUGAGAGGAUACCCCAGCAAAGCAACUGCUGGAAUGCCUACAGUAUGAGAGAUUCCACAAUAGGAGGUAGAAGAAGGAUAAACAGAAACAACAUGGAGCACCCAAGGCUUUAUCAUGGGUUUGGUGUUGUGUGUAAAUACCUAAAGGACUUUAAAGUGGAGAUCUGUCAAACUACAAACUUCCUGCAAAUUUGCUGUCUCUUUAUUUAUUACCUCUCCUUCAAAAGUUAGGGCAAGUAAAAUGUGCUUGUUGCGCAGUGUUCUUUUACAUCAGGAGACACAGGAUUGUGUCAAACAGCCAUACCAUGCUCACUACUGCAACUAUUCUGCAUAUAAUAGCCCUAAUAGGGAUAGAAAAAGUUAUGUUAAAAUGAACUGAAUUGAUUUUCAUAUGGCAAGAGGGGUCACUGAAUGGUUUUAUGAGUAUGUUAAUGAUUGUAAUCAUAUGUUAUGGCCUUUGCCGAUGGGCAGAUUUUAAACCGGUGUGCAUUUCAGAGGUCCAGAGUUUCAGAGACUGUGUCAAAGGGGCCUUGAUGUGGCUCAUGGUAGUCUGACACAGUAAGACACUUUAUGUUGCUUCUUUCUUUUGUCACCUAUGCUUCGACCACAUAGCGUGUGAGAUCUAAUGUUUAGCUCAACGGUGACAGCACCUAUUCACUCUGAAUAAAGCAGGUGUACUUAGUAAGGUGGCUGUAAUUGUAUGUCUUCAGGCUGGGCUUUUGUCUCAUUGCAUACUGUAAACUCUUUUGUGGACUGUAGUUUGCCAGCUACCAGGCAAAGCUAUGGAAAGCGUGGAUCCAUUAGAAGACCAUUUGCAUUUUGUUUGAACAGUUCCUGGCUGUGUCUCUCUCUGCUUUAUUUAGAAGGGCAGAGAGAGCAGAAGGGAGAAAGGCAGUCACAUAGACAGGGUGUUGUACUGAAUGAGAGCAAAGAGACACAAAAAUUAGCUUUUCAUCUUGUGACAGCCACAUCUCAAAGAAAAAGAGAAGGGAUGGCAAAGCUGAGGGAAAGGGAGAGCUGAAAGAUGCAAAGUAAGAGUUACAAAGAUGUGGAAUAUUGCUAGAGGGAUCAAGAGAGAGAGAGGUAGUGGAAGGUGGGCUGCAAAGAAGUGAAGGGAAGCAGGGCAGAGUGACAGAGGCAAAAAGACAUCAAGGUGUAGAAACAGAAGGCGAGGAAGGCGAGCUACA